AGGAGGAGGGAGGUGAGAUUAACAGCAAGAAGAGAAAAAACAAGUGAGAGGCAGGUUGUGAGAAAAAUAGGAGGAAAACGAACAUGCCAACAUUCUUGUCUUGAUAACCACCUCCAUGAUAAUUAACCUAGAUGUCAAUGAUUGAUUUCUCCUCUUGCACAGCACUGGAUCCCUCUGCUCCACUGACCUACUUUAAGGUAAUAAAAGCUUUCAAACAAAGUGGUGAUAGCUUCUUAUUUCUGUGUCUGCCACUCACCGCACUCCAGCGAGAUCUGUAUCCAGGUAACUGGCCUGCAGGAAAUCAGCCACAGUCAAGCAACUGCUCGGUGAGCAUGGAAAAUGGGAAUGAUGGAAGGUGAAAGUAGAAGGAGAGUGGAUGGAAGAAGAGUUGAGGAGUUCACUCUCCUUGGACAGCACUGGCUCCAAGUUUCCAGCACAAUGCUGAGACCUCUUCUCUGCUCGCUAAGAAUGCCGUUCAGCAGGAUAAGAUAAUCCUGCUCUCACCGUCUCCACUGUGGCUCCCCAGGACAUUCCAGCGUCGCGGGAUAUCCAGGUUGGCCAUGGCCAGGGCCACGCGACGAUCCAUAGCCCAGCGAGAACUCUCC